UACGUAGGGUGCAAGCGUUGUCCGGAAUUAUUGGGCGUAAAGAGCUCGUAGGCGGUCUGUCGCGUCGAAUGUGAAAACCCGGGGCUCAACCCCGGGCCUGCAUUCGAUACGGGCAGACUAGAGUUCGGUAGGGGAGACUGGAAUUCCUGGUGUAGCGGUGAAAUGCGCAGAUAUCAGGAGGAACACCGGUGGCGAAGGCGGGUCUCUGGGCCGUAACUGACGCUGAGGAGCGAAAGCAUGGGGAGCGAACAGG
rnacentral:rRNA from 1 species